CCGGUAAACGGCGGCCGUAACUAUAACGGUCCUAAGGUAGCGAAAUUCCUUGUCGGGUAAGUUCCGACCUGCACGAAUGGCGUAAUGAUGGCCAGGCUGUCUCCACCCGAGACUCAGUGAAAUUGAACUCGCUGUGAAGAUGCAGUGUACCCGCGGCAAGACGGAAAGACCCCGUGAACCUUUACUAUAGCUUGACACUGAACAUUGAGCCUUGAUGUGUAGGAUAGGUGGGAGGCUUUGAAGUGUGGACGCCAGUCUGCAUGGAGCCGACCUUGAAAUACCACCCUUUAAUGUUUGAUGUUCUAACGUUGACCCGUAAUCCGGGUUGCGGACAGUGUCUGGUGGGUAGUUUGACUGGGGCGGUCUCCUCCUAAAGAGUAACGGAGGAGCACGAAGGUUGGCUAAUCCUGGUCGGACAUCAGGAGGUUAGUGCAAUGGCAUAAGCCAGCUUGACUGCGAGCGUGACGGCGCGAGCAGGUGCGAAAGCAGGUCAUAGUGAUCCGGUGGUUCUGAAUGGAAGGGCCAUCGCUCAACGGAUAAAAGGUACUCCGGGGAUAACAGGCUGAUACCGCCCAAGAGUUCAUAUCGACGGCGGUGUUUGGCACCUCGAUGUCGGCUCAUCACAUCCUGGGGCUGAAGUAGGUCCCAAGGGUAUGGCUGUUCGCCAUUUAAAGUGGUACGCGAGCUGGGUUUAGAACGUCGUGAGACAGUUCGGUCCCUAUCUGCCGUGGGCGCUGGAGAACUGAGGGGGGCUGCUCCUAGUACGAGAGGACCGGAGUGGACGCAUCACUGGUGUUCGGGUUGUCAUGCCAAUGGCACUGCCCGGUAGCUAAAUGCGGAAGAGAUAAGUGCUGAAAGCAUCUAAGCACGAAACUUGCCCCGAGAUGAGUUCUCCCUGACCCUUUAAGGGUCCUGAAGGAACGUUGAAGACGACGACGUUGAUAGGCCGGGUGUGUAAGCGCAGCGAUGCGUUGAGCUAACCGGUACUAAUGAACCGUGAGGCUUAACCUUACAAC
rnacentral:rRNA from 1 species